GGGCGCUUAGCUCAGUGGGAGAGCGCUACCUUGACACGGUAGAGGCCGCCAGUUCAAUCCUGGCAGCGCCCA
rnacentral:tRNA from 1 species